rfam:Anolis carolinensis unplaced genomic scaffold chrTn0208, whole genome shotgun sequence.
CAAAAGGCUCUUUUAAGAGCCACCACAUACUCAAAAAAGUGCUG